UUUGAUCCUGGCUCAGGAUGAACGCUGGCGGCGUGCUUAACACAUGCAAGUCGAACGAUGAUCCGGUGCUUGCACCGGGGAUUAGUGGCGAACGGGUGAGUAACACGUGAGUAACCUGCCCUUGACUCUGGGAUAAGCCUGGGAAACUGGGUCUAAUACCGGAUAUGACUCCUCAUCGCAUGGUGGGGGGUGGAAAGCUUUAUUGUGGUUUUGGAUGGACUCGCGGCCUAUCAGCUUGUUGGUGAGGUAAUGGCUCACCAAGGCGACGACGGGUAGCCGGCCUGAGAGGGUGACCGGCCACACUGGGACUGAGACACGGCCCAGACUCCUACGGGAGGCAGCAGUGGGGAAUAUUGCACAAUGGGCGAAAGCCUGAUGCAGCGACGCCGCGUGAGGGAUGAUGGCCUUCGGGUUGUAAACCUCUUUCAGUAGGGAAGAAGCGAAAGUGACGGUACCUGCAGAAGAAGCGCCGGCUAACUACGUGCCAGCAGCCGCGGUAAUACGUAGGGCGCAAGCGUUAUCCGGAAUUAUUGGGCGUAAAGAGCUCGUAGGCGGUUUGUCGCGUCUGCCGUGAAAGUCCGGGGCUCAACUCCGGAUCUGCGGUGGGUACGGGCAGACUAGAGUGAUGUAGGGGAGACUGGAAUUCCUGGUGUAGCGGUGAAAUGCGCAGAUAUCNNGAGGAACACCGAUGGCGAANGCAGGUCUCUGGGCAUUAACUGACGCUGANGAGCGAAAGCAUGGGGAGCGAACAGGAUUAGAUACCCUGGUAGUCCA
rnacentral:rRNA from 1 species